GGGGUACCCGGGGAGAGGGGGGGUCGUUAUCAAAGGUUCUGCCCGUCUUCGUCGUCCCCUGCUGCGGCGCUGCCGUUGCCAGACGCUAGCUCGUUGGCCAAGGGGCCGCCCGCAUAAGUCGAAGCUAAUCCGGGCGGAGAGGAACUGAACGAGCCGACUCGCCCCACGGCCGCCAUCUUGGUCGGGAAUCACACCACUCCCCGCAAGGCUGAAUGAGCGAGGCGGCGUUGGCUGUGGCGGCGGCGGGAACCCGGAUAUUGGGCGUUCAACUCACGGGAGCAGGGAGGGGCCUGCAGAGGCGGAGCCGGCUGGGCUGAAGAAGUGCAGGAGCUUGCGCUGCGCGUGCGCCGAGCGACGGCGGGCCGGAGGUGCUACGCGUGCGCCAGCACUGAUUGCUGGAGUGUUUUCGCCGAGUUGGAGCGCUUCUCGCGAGUGCGUCCUCAUCGCCAGGCUGCUGUAAGGCAGGUUGGGUGUGUCUAGUAGGCUGCAGUCCUUUUCACCCUUCCGUCGAGUCCGUAAAUCCGCAGCCGGCACUAAAUUUCUGCGCUCUCCUUGCGGGCCCAUCCACCUUUCCAACUGAGCGCGCACCCAGCCUUCACUGCAUCGGCGCCAACAUGAAAAUGGGCUGUCCGGCAGGUACUGCAGCCAGAGUCAGCACAGCGUGGGCAGAUGACACCAGUGGAAGCAGAGACAGCAGCACUUCAAAGGCCCAGUAAAGAACAAGAGCUCAGCCUCCAUCAUCACAUUGCACCAAUGCAGGUAACAAUGUUAAUUACCUGUGACAGUUACAGCAGUCAAAUCUAGUGAGUACAAGACAUUCAGCACCAUGCCUGGUGCCCUCAGUACAGCUCUUGCAGACAAAUGAAAAGGAUGAAAUAUUUACUGUUUUAAUAAUUCUUCUGGAAAGGAAAAAAAUUUUGUUUCCUUUUUGUUUAUAAAAGUAAUACAUAUCUCAUUGAGCAUGGUAGUACAUGCCUAUCAUCCAAGCUACUCAGGAGGCUGAGGCAGGAGGAUUUCAAGUUGAGCCUAGAUUGGCAACUUCUCAAGAUCCUGUCUCAAAAAAAAAAAAAAAUUAAAAGGGAUGGAGUAGUAGCUUAGUGAGAAGGUCCUGAGUUCAGUCCCCAGUACCAAAAAGAGGGGGAGCAGAUGAUGAUGUAGCUCAGUGGUAGAGUGCUGGCCUAGCAUGUACAAUCCCCUGAGUUCAUUCCCAAUGAUAAUAAUAAUAAUAAUACAUCUGGUAACAAUAAAAAACUUAGAAAAUAUAAAGCCAAGAAAAAU
rnacentral:lncRNA from 1 species